UACGGAGGGUGCAAGCGUUAUCCGGAUUCACUGGGUUUAAAGGGUGCGUAGGUGGGUCUGUAAGUCAGUGGUGAAAUCCCCCGAGCUUAACUUGGGAACUGCCGUUGAUACUAUAGAUCUUGAAUAUCGUGGAGGUAAGCGGAAUAUGUCAUGUAGCGGUGAAAUGCUUAGAUAUGACAUAGAACACCAAAUUGCGAAGGCAGCUUACUACACGAUCAUUGACACUGAGGCACGAAAGCGUGGGGAGCAAACAGG
rnacentral:rRNA from 1 species